rnacentral:rRNA from 1 species
AGUGAACGCUGGCGGUAGGCCUAACACAUGCAAGUCGAACGGCAGCACAGUAAGAGCUUGCUCUUACGGGUGGCGAGUGGCGGACGGGUGAGGAAUACAUCGGAAUCUACUUUUUCGUGGGGGAUAACGUAGGGAAACUUACGCUAAUACCGCAUACGACCUACGGGUGAAAGCAGGGGAUCUUCGGACCUUGCGCGAUUGAAUGAGCCGAUGUUGGAUUAGCUAGUUGGCGGGGUAAAGGCCCACCAAGGCGACGAUCCGUAGCUGGUCUGAGAGGAUGAUCAGCCACACUGGAACUGAGACACGGUCCAGACUCUUACGGGAGGCAGCAGUGGGGAAUAUUGGACAAUGGGCGCAAGCCUGAUCCAGCCAUACCGCGUGGGUGAAGAAGGCCUUCGGGUUGUAAAGCCCUUUUGUUGGGAAAGAAAAGCAGCAGGUUAAUACCCCGCUGUUCUGACGGUACCCAAAGAAUAAGCACCGGCUAACUUCGUG